rnacentral:rRNA from 1 species
UGGGGAAUAUUGGACAAUGGGCGAAAGCCUGAUCCAGCCAUGCCGCGUGUGUGAAGAAGGUCUUCGGAUUGUAAAGCACUUUAAGUUGGGAGGAAGGGCAUUAACCUAAUACGUUAGUGUUUUGACGUUACCGACAGAAUAAGCACCGGCUAACUCUGUGCCAGCAGCCGCGGUAAUACAGAGGGUGCAAGCGUUAAUCGGAAUUACUGGGCGUAAAGCGCGCGUAGGUGGUUUGUUAAGUUGGAUGUGAAAUCCCCGGGCUCAACCUGGGAACUGCAUUCAAAACUGACUGACUAGAGUAUGGUAGAGGGUGGUGGAAUUUCCUGUGUAGCGGUGAAAUGCGUAGAUAUAGGAAGGAACACCAGUGGCGAAGGCGACCACCGGGACUAAUACUGACACUGAGGUGCGAGAGCGUGGGGAGCAAACA